UGGGGAAUAUUGGGCAAUGGGGGAAACCCUGACCCAGCAACGCCGCGUGAAGGAAGAAGGCCUUCGGGUUGUAAACUUCUUUUAGCAGGGACGAAGGACGUGACGGUACCUGCAGAAAAAGCGACGGCUAACUACGUGCCAGCAGCCGCGGUAAUACGUAGGUCGCAAGCGUUGUCCGGAUUUACUGGGUGUAAAGGGCGUGUAGGCGGAGAUGCAAGUUGGGAGUGAAAUACCGGGGCUCAACCCCGGAACUGCUUUCAAAACUGCAUCCCUUGAGUAUCGGAGAGGCAAGCGGAAUUCCUAGUGUAGCGGUGAAAUGCGUAGAUAUUAGGAGGAACACCAGUGGCGAAGGCGGCCUGCUGGACGACAACUGACGCUGAGGCGCGAAAGCGUGGGGAGCAAACAG
rnacentral:rRNA from 1 species